rnacentral:rRNA from 1 species
CAGUCGCCACGGUAAUGCGUAGGGUGCAAGCGUUAAUCGGAAUUACUGGGCGCAAAGCGUGCGCAGGCGGUUCGUUAAGACAGAUGUGAAAUCCCCGGGCUCAACCUGGGAACUGCAUUUGUGACUGGCGGGCUAGAGUAUGGCAGAGGGGGGUAGAAUUCCACGUGUAGCAGUGAAAUGCGUAGAGAUGUGGAGGAAUACCGAUGGCGAAGGCAGCCCCCUGGGCCGAUACUGACGCCCAUGCACGAAAGCGUGGGGAGCAAACAGGAUUAGAUACCCCUGUAGUCCCUGUCUCUUAUAC